CCUACGGGAGGCAGCAGUGAGGAAUAUUGGUCAAUGGACGAGAGUCUGAACCAGCCAAGUAGCGUGAAGGAUGACUGCCCUAUGGGUUGUAAACUUCUUUUAUAUGGGAAUGAAAUGUUCCACGUGUGGGAUUUUGUAUGUACCAUAGGAAUAAGGAUCGGCUAACUCCGUGCCAGCAGCCGCGGUAAUACGGAGGAUCCGAGCGUUAUCCGGAUUUAUUGGGUUUAAAGGGAGCGUAGGUGGAUUGUUAAGUCAGUUGUGAAAGUUUGCGGCUCAACCGUAAAAUUGCAGUUGAAACUGGCAGUCUUGAGUACAGUAGAGGUGGGCGGAAUUCGUGGUGUAGCGGUGAAAUGCUUAGAUAUCACGAAGAACUCCGAUUGCGAAGGCAGUUCACUGGACUGCAACUGACACUGAGGCUCGAAAGUGUGGGUAUCAAACAGGAUUAGAUACCCGAGUAGUC
rnacentral:rRNA from 1 species